AUGGCAAAAAGACAAAAACAGAGAGGGAGUGACGGAGAAGAGGCAGAGGAGCCCUGGUCCUCGAGCAGACUCUGCCGCAGGGCCGCUGGGGUGAUGUGGUCUCAAUGACUCAUCUGUGAAUGAUCUCUCACCCGUCCCCUCUGGCUCCAGCAUUCAUAGGAGCUCUUAAGAUCUUAUGCUCCAUGAUUCUGUUCUCAGCGACACCCAGGACCUCUGGUGGAGGCAGAGCUGACAAGCAUCAGCCCCCAAAUGAGCUCCUCCUCAGGUGUUCGUUCCUCCAGCAGCCAAUGGUUUAUUUCACUCACCUGAGUGUUGCAAGAGCCACAGCCCUGGCGGAACUGUUCUCCGUAAAUCUUGGGUGAAUAGGAGGGCUGCAAAGGGCCUUCAGAGCAACAGUGUGGACAAAAGCGCUCAUCUCGUAGUCAAUGGAGGUUGACUAAAGAGCCUCCUGAGCAUUUCGGAUUCCUUCUGCAGGCUACUCCUCCUCUUCCUAAAUCCGCCUCUUUGGGCUCAAUGGCAACUACUAAUUCUGCAUUUAGGAGCAGGGUAAAGGACGGAGAAGCAGUAACAAAUUGAAUAUCAAUCGAGUGAAGCAAAAAUUCUUCCAGGGCCACUUCCAGACUAUGCUACUCUCAGUGCCAGCCUAGCAGGACAGAGGUAAGUGGCUGGACCAACUCCAUGAACUGUAUGCAGGCAAAGUACUUAACCUUUGCGGGCGGAGGGGGAAGGGACGGGACGACGACUCAGAUUCCCCUGUAGGCUACCUUCAGCUCUAAUGUACUAUGGUCUAUCUCUAUGUAAUUUUCAUUUAAAAGAGUCCAGGGAAAACCACUUGCAAUUGAGUUUGGUAAUAAAAUGAUGAGAAAUCGUACUCUCAUCACCACGGAAACCAAGCCUCAGCAUGAUGAACAUCACCUGUUCCCAUCACCAUCGAGGUCCGCACGUGAAGCUCCAUUUAUACCUGUGGGGUGCCCGUUGAGAUGGUCUGAUUCUGGACUUAUGGAGCUUUUCAAACCGUGGGAUCCAUGGUUCUAUCCUAGCUACUUGCCCUGGUUUCUCUGGCAUGGCGCUCUCUGAACCAGACUGCGUAAGCGGCACGCACCCACUGCUGCAAGGCGAUGGAGUUCUCCCAACCCAGAUAUUCUACUG